AGUGAACGCUGGCGGUAGGCCUAACACAUGCAAGUCGAACGGCAGCACAGUAAGAUCUUGCGCUUACGGGUGGCGAGUGGCGGACGGGUGAGGAAUACAUCGUAAUCUACUUUUUCGUGGGGGAUAACGUAGGGAAACUUACGCUAAUACCGCAUACUACCUACGGGUGAAAGCAUGGGAUCUUCGGACCUUGCGCGAUUGAAUGAGCCGAUGUCGGAUUAGCUAGUUGGCGGGGUAAAGGCCCACCAAGGCGACGAUCCGUAGCUGGUCUGAGAGGAUGAUCAGCGACACUGGAACUGAGACACGGUCCAGACUCCUACGGGAGGCAGCAGUGGGGAAUAUUGGUCAAUGGGCGCAAGACUGAUCCAGCCAUACCGCGUGGGUGAAGAAGGCCUUCGGGUUGUAAAGCCCUUUUGUUGGGAAAGAAAAGCAGCAGGUUAAUACCCCGCUGUUCUGACGGUACCCAAAGAAUAAGCACCGGCUAACUUCGUG
rnacentral:rRNA from 1 species